GACGAACGCUGGCGGCGUGCUUAACACAUGCAAGUCGAACGGAAAGGCCCUGCUUUUGUGGUGUGCUCGAGUGGCGAACGGGUGAGUAACACGUGAGUAACCUGCCCUUGACUUUGGGAUAACUUCACGAAACUGGGGCUAAUACCGGAUAGGAUCUCCUGCUGCAUGGUGGGGGUUGGAAAUUUUCGGCGGUUGGGGUUGGAUUCGCGGCUUAUCAGCUUGUUGGUGGGGUAGUGGCUUACCAAGGCUUUGACGGGUAGCCGGCCUGAGAGGGUGACCGGCCACAUUGGGACUGAGAGACGGACCAGACGCCUACGGGAGGCAGAAGGGGGGAAUAUUGCACAAUGGGAGGAAGCCGGAUGCAGAAACGCCGCGGGAGGGAUGACGGCCUUCGGGGUGUAAAACGCUUUAGCCUGUGACGAAGCGUGAGUGACGGUAAUGGGUAAAGAAGCACCGGCUAACUACGUG
rnacentral:rRNA from 1 species